rnacentral:rRNA from 1 species
UACGUAGGUGGCGAGCGUUGUCCGGAUUUACUGGGCGUAAAGAGCGCGCAGGCGGUCGUGCAAGUCGCGUGUGAAAGCCCCCGGCUCAACUGGGGAGGGUCACGCGAUACUGCUCGACUCGAAGGCAGGAGAGGGAAGUGGAAUUCCUGGUGUAGCGGUGAAAUGCGUAGAGAUCAGGAAGAACACCGGUGGCGAAGGCGCUCUGCUAGGCCGUAACUGACACUGAGGGACGAAAGCUAGGGGAGCGAAUGGG